CUAACACAUGCAAGUCGAACGGACAGAUGCUUCUAGCUAUUUAUAGCUAGAAGCAUCUGUUAGUGGCAGACGGGUGAGUAAUGCGUAGGAAUCUACCUAGUAGUACGGAAUAGCUAUUAGAAAUGAUAGGUAAUACUGUAUAAUCCCUGCGGGGGAAAGAUUUUAUUGCUAUUAGAUGAGCCUACGUUAGAUUAGCUAGUUGGUAAGGUAAUGGCUUACCAAGGCUAUGAUCUAUAGCUGGUCUGAGAGGACGAUCAGCCACACUGGAACUGAGAUACGGUCCAGACUCCUACGGGAGGCAGCAGUGGGGAAUAUUGGACAAUGGGCGAAAGCCUGAUCCAGCUAUGCCGCGUGAGUGAAGAAGGCCUUCGGGUUGUAAAGCUCUUUCAAUAGGGAAGAUAAUGACGGUACCUAUAGAAGAAGUCCCGGCAAACUCCGUGCCAGCAGCCGCGGUAAUACGGAGGGGGCAAGCGUUGUUCGGAAUUAUUGGGCGUAAAGGGCACGUAGGUGGACUAGUAAGUUAAAAGUGAAAUACCAGAGCUUAACUUUGGAGCUGCUUUUAAUACUGCUAGACUAGAGGUCGAAAGAGGAUAGCGGAAUUCCUAGUGUAGAGGUGAAAUUCGUAGAUAUUAGGAGGAACACCAGUGGCGAAG
rnacentral:rRNA from 1 species